AGGAAUAUUGGUCAAUGGACGAGAGUCUGAACCAGCCAAGUAGCGUGAAGGAUGAAGGUCCUACGGAUUGUAAACUUCUUUUAUAAGGGAAUAAACCCUCCCACGUGUGGGAGCUUGUAUGUACCUUAUGAAUAAGCAUCGGCUAACUCCGUGCCAGCAGCCGCGGUAAUACGGAGGAUGCGAGCGUUAUCCGGAUUUAUUGGGUUUAAAGGGAGCGCAGACGGGUCGUUAAGUCAGCUGUGAAAGUUUGGGGCUCAACCUUAAAAUUGCAGUUGAUACUGGCGUCCUUGAGUGCGGUUGAGGUGUGCGGAAUUCGUGGUGUAGCGGUGAAAUGCUUAGAUAUCACGAAGAACUCCGAUUGCGAAGGCAGCACACUAAUCCGUAACUGACGUUCAUGCUCGAAAGUGUGGGUAUCAAACAGGAUUAGAUACCCUGGUAGUCCACACGGUAAACGAUGGAUACUCGCUGUUGGCGAUAUACUGUCAGCGGCUUAGCGAAAGCGUUAAGUAUCCCACCUGGGGAGUACGCCGGCAACGGUGAAACUCAAAGGAAUUGACGGGGGCCCGCACAAGCGGAGGAACAUGUGGUUUAAUUCGAUGAUACGCGAGGAACCUUACCCGGGCUUGAAUUGCAAAGGAAUAAUCUGGAAACAGGUUAGUCUUCGGACCUUUGUGAAGGUGCUGCAUGGUUGUCGUCAGCUCGUGCCGUGAGGUGUCGGCUUAAGUGCCAUAACGAGCGCAACCCUCGCCGCCAGUUACUAACAGUUAAAGCUGAGGACUCUGGCGGGACUGCCAUCGUAAGAUGUGAGGAAGGUGGGGAUGACGUCAAAUCAGCACGGCCCUUACGUCCGGGGCUACACACGUGUUACAAUGGGCGGUACAGAAGGCAGCUACCUGGCGACAGGAUGCCAAUCCCUAAAGCCGCUCUCAGUUCGGACUGGAGUCUGCAACCCGACUCCACGAAGCUGGAUUCGCUAGUAAUCGCGCAUCAGCCACGGCGCGGUGAAUACGUUCCCG
rnacentral:rRNA from 1 species